rnacentral:rRNA from 1 species
GACGAACGCUGGCGGCGUGCCUAAUACAUGCAAGUCGAGCGGACUUUCAAGAAGCUUGCUUUUUGAAAGUUAGCGGCGGACGGGUGAGUAACACGUGGGCAACCUGCCUGCAAGACGGGGAUAACUCCGGGAAACCGGGGCUAAUACCGGAUAAUAUCUUCCUUCGCAUGAAGGAAGGUUGAAAGGCGGCGCAAGCUGCCGCUUGCAGAUGGGCCCGCGGCGCAUUAGCUAGUUGGUGAGGUAACGGCUCACCAAGGCGACGAUGCGUAGCCGACCUGAGAGGGUGAUCGGCCACACUGGGACUGAGACACGGCCCAGACUCCUACGGGAGGCAGCAGUAGGGAAUCUUCCGCAAUGGACGAAAGUCUGACGGAGCAACGCCGCGUGAGCGAAGAAGGUCUUCGGAUCGGAAAGCUCGGUUGUCAGGGAAGAACAAGUACCGUUCGAACAGGGCGGUACCUUGACGGUACCUGACCAGAAAGCCACGGCUAACUACGUG